GACGAACGCUGGCGGCGUGCUUAACACAUGCAAGUCGAACGCUGAAGCCCUUUCGGGGGUGGAUGAGUGGCGAACGGGUGAGUAACACGUGGGUAAUCUGCCCUGCACUCUGGGAUAAGCCUUGGAAACGGGGUCUAAUACCGGAUAGGACACAUCGCCGCAUGGUGUGUGUGUGGAAAGUUCCGGCGGUGCAGGUUGAGCCCGCGGCCUAUCAGCUUGUUGGUGGGGUGAUGGCCUACCAAGGCGACGACGGGUAGCCGGCCUGAGAGGGUGACCGGCUACACUGGGACUGAGACACGGCCCAGAGUCCUACGGGAGGCAGCAGUGGGGAAUCUUGCGCAAUGGGCGAAAGCCUGACGCAGCAACACCGCGUGGGGGAUGACGGCCUUCGGGUUGUAAACCUCUUUCGACCGGGACGAAGGGUGACUGACGGUACCGGUAGAAGAAGCACCGGCUAACUACGUGCCAGCCGCCGCAGUAA
rnacentral:rRNA from 1 species